rnacentral:rRNA from 1 species
UGAGUACGAGAUGCUACGGCAUCGAAGCAGUCUAUGUCAUACUUCCAAGAAAAGCUUGCAAUGUCAUAAACAAAUAAUGCCUGUACCAUAACCGACACAGGUGGGUAGGUAGAGUAUACUAAGGGGCGCGAGAUAACUCUCUCUAAGGAACUCGGCAAAAUGACUCCGUAACUUCGGGAGAAGGAGUGCCUUAUUUCUAUAAGGUUGCAAUAACAAGAUCCAAGCAACUGUUUACCAAAAACACAGGUCUCCGCUAAGUCGUAAGACGAUAUAUGGGGGCUGACGCCUGCCCAGUGCCAGAAGGUUAAAGAAGUUGGUUAGCAUUAGCGAAGCUGAUAACUGAAGCCCUGGUGAACGGCGGCCGUAACAAUAACGGUCCUAAGGUAGCGAAAUUCCUUGUCGGGUAAGUUCCGACCCGCACGAAAGGAGUAAUGAUUUGGAUACUGUCUCGGAGAGGGGCUUGGUGAAAUAGACUUGUCUGUGAAGAUGCGGACUACCUGCACCUGGACAGAAAGACCCUAUGAAGCUUUACUGUAACUUGAGAUUGAAAUUGGACUUUAUCUGCGCAGUAUAGGUGGGAGACGUUGAAAAUAUUCUUGCGGGAAUAUUGGAGUCAUCAGUGAGAUACCACUCUUAUAAUGUUAGAUUUCUAACUUUGUAUCAUUAUCUGGUCAAAGAACAGUUUCAGGCGGGCAGUUUGACUGGGGCGGUCGCCUCCCAAACGGUAACGGAGGCGCACAAAGGUUUCCUCUGAACGUGUAGAAAUCGUAUCUAGAGUGUAAAGGCAUAAGGAAGCUUGACUGUGAGACCUACAAGUCGAGCAGGGACGAAAGUCGGUCUUAGUGAUCUGACGGUGCUGAGUGGAAAGGCCGUCACUCAACGGAUAAAAGUUACUCUAAGGAUAACAGGCUGAUCUCCCCCAAGAGUUCACAUCGACGGGGAGGUUUGGCACCUUGAUGUCGGCUCAUCGCAUCCUGGGGCGGUAGUACGUCCCAAGGGUUGGGCUGUUCGCCCAUGAAAGCGGUACGCGAGCUGGGUUCAGAACGUCGUGAGACAGUUCGGUCCAUAUCCGGUGUAGGCGUUAGAGUAUUGAGAGGAGCCUUCUUUAGUACGAGAGGACCGAGAAGGACAUACCUCUGGUGUACCAGUUAUCGUGCCAACGGUAAACGCUGGGUAGCCAUGUAUGGAGAGGAUAACCGCUGAAAGCAUCUAAGUGGGAAGCCCACCUCAAGAUAAG